ACUCAAAGGAAUUGACGGGGGCCCGCACAAGCGGUGGAGCAUGUGGUUUAAUUCGAUGCAACGCGAAGAACCUUACCUACCCUUGACAGCCACGGAAUCUGAUAGAGAUAUUGGAGUGCCGAAAGGAACCGUGAGACAGGUGCUGCAUGGCUGUCGUCAGCUCGUGUUGUGAGAUGUUGGGUUAAGUCCCGUAACGAGCGCAACCCCUAUCCUUAGUUGCCAUCAUUUAGUUGGGGACUCUAAGGAGACUGCUGGUGAAGAACCGGAGGAAGGCGGGGACGACGUCAAGUCAUCAUGGCCUGUAUGGGUAGGGCUACACACGUGCUACAAUGGCGCGUACAGAGGGAAGCGAACCUGCGAAGGGGAGCCAAUCCUUUAAAGCGCGUCGUAGUCCGGAUCGGAGUCUGCAACUCGACUCCGUGAAGUCGGAAUCGCUAGUAAUCGCGAAUCAGAAUGUCGCGGUGAAUACGUUCCCGGGCCUUGUACACACCGCCCGU
rnacentral:rRNA from 1 species